AUCACGGAGGGUUUGAUCCUGGCUCAGGACGAACGCUGGCGGCGUGCCUAACACAUGCAAGUCGAACGCGAGUGUCUUUUUUCGUAAGAAAGGUGACAUUUGAGUGGCGAACGGGUGAGUAACACGUGAGUAACUCCCCUUCCGGUGGGGGAUAACUAUCCGAAAGGAUGGCUAAUACCCCAUAUGCUCCCUGACUGCCAGGUCAGUGAGGAAAGUGGGCUUCGUUAAGAAGCUCAUGCCUGAAGAGAGGCUCGCGCCCCAUCAGCUAGUUGGUGAGGUAACGGCUCACCAAGGCGAUGACGGGUAGCUGGUCUGAGAGGAUGGUCAGCCACACUGGGACUGAGACACGGCCCAGACUCCUACGGGAGGCAGCAGUGAGGAAUUUUGGGCAAUGGGCGCAAGCCUGACCCAGCGACGCCGCGUGGAGGAUGAAGGCCUUCGGGUCGUAAACUCCUGUUCUGAGGGAAGAAAACGGGGUGAGCGAAUAACUCAUUCCGCUGACGGUACCUCAGGAGUAAGCUCCGGCUAAUUACGUGCCAGCAGCCGCGGUAAUACGUAAGGAGCAAGCGUUGUCCGGAUUUACUGGGCGUAAAGAGCUCGUAGGCGGCCGAUCAGGUCUCGCGUAAAAUCCCCCGGCUCAACC
rnacentral:rRNA from 1 species